CCAUGCGGGCGGACGGGGGCGCCGGCGGGGCGGCGAGGGGCGCGGCGAGCGGGCAGUCACGUAGCCGCCCGCGGACCGGCUCGCUCUGCGCCACGUAGCGCGCGCCUCGCAAAGGUCAGCGCCGCAGGAGAUCCACUCUGUACUCCUGGUGACCCUCCUCUCUGCCCUGGCACUUUGACCUUUGUCAACUACAUCAGCAGACUCUCUGACUUCCAGCUGGACUUAGCCAACAGAACUUUCCAGCAGGAGAUUGAAAGGUAGGAGGAUAGUGAGGUCUGUAGUUUAUUACCCCCACUCCCUCUUUGUGGUUCACCUCAGACUGGCCUUCUCUCUCUCUACUGAAGGCCACAGAUGCUUCAGAAGCCCUCUACAUCUGCCUCUAGCUCCCCAGUCCUGUCUCUCAACCAGUUAUUGCCCCUUUUCCUUUGCUUCCUCAGGCCUAGGCAAGGUCAUGGCCCCCCACUGUUCAAGCUUCAGGGCACUGUCCCAUCUCUUUGCUUUCCCUAAACUCUGCCCACACCUUUAUUAGAGUCUUUUCAUUAAGCUUUCUUCCCCUUGCCCUGGUUUUCUGCCAGGACCCUAGCUCCUACACACCUACUCUGCAUCUCCCCUUGGAAUUCUCACGGUCAUCACAAACAUGACGUGUCCACAACCUAACUUUUUUUUUUUUUUUUUAAGAUUUUAUUUAUUUGACAGAGAGAGAGAUCACAAGUUGACAGAGAGGCAGGCAGAGAGAGAGGGGGAAGCAGGCUCCCCACUGAGCAGAGAGCCCGAUGCAGGACUCGAUCCCAGGACCCUGAGAUCAUGACCUGAGCCAAAGGCAGAGGCUUAACCCACUGAGCCACCCAGGCGCCCCCACAACCUAACUUUUGAUUUCCCCCCCUGCCUCUCCUUCUCCCUGCUUUCUGCCUUCUUUGUGAAUGGUAGCACCAGCAGGCUGGGCGCACAAGGCAGACGCAGUGGGAGUCGACAUGAUUUCCCAUCUCCCUCGGUCCCACUGUCCUCUCUCUCACCCAUCACUAUGUCUGGAAGAUCAGCUUCACACAGCCGGCUGCUCCUGACUCGAGUUCUCAGCCUAUGUAUUACCUUCUGGAAAAAAUCUUCCUCUCCACAACCAGUUAAGGGCCCUUCAUCCUUUUAUCCUCUCUCCACUUGUCAAUUUGUUUGCUUCUUAGGAAAUGAUACCACUUCCUAAUAUCACUUAAGAAGUGAUUAUCUAGUUCACUUGAGAGUUAUAUCCUUUUGGUAGAACAGGAUGACUGAGCUACAAAGGACAAUGACUCUAACUCUUCAGAUCAUCCGGCUUGGAGGCCUGUGUUCCCCGAGGCUGAUUGAACACGGCACAGUUACUCUCUAAGGUUCCAGACCUACGUCCAUGCUACCCUCGUCAAGAUUCAGUACCCCACAAAGCCUCAUGGAAAAUGAACCAUUGGCUCUACCUAUCUCGUCUACGUUGGCAGAAAUAAAUUACAUGACAUCUUGGGUUCUGUAAGAGCCCCGUUCUACUGGCUCCAAGUCCAAGGACUUAUCCUUGACUGUACAGUUGUUUCAGAUAAACUCCACAUACAUAAACAACUUUCAAAAGAUGUGAUCUAGAUGCCUGAAAUGCCAGAUUCGUGAUUUAGUUACUUGGCCUAGUCGGUAAGCUGCAAGUUCAGAAAACAAAACGAACAAACAAAAAUCUAAAUGAAACAACACAUUUCUGAAUCAAAUUGCCUACCUUGUGUCAAAGUCCUCAUAUGCAUGGAAUCAGACGGAAAACAGAAAUAGAUCUAUGUGUUAUCUGAACUGAACUGAAAUGUUUGCCUUUUUGCUCCUUGUGAAGCAUUGGCUGAAAGAAACACCCAUCAUGUUUGAUAUAUGGAUUCAGAGCUGAGAAACCACCAUGGUGUGUAGGGUCCCCUGUGCAUUGGUUCUGUCUGCUUCAAGCUUCGGGCUUGAAUGACGCCAAGGGAAUCAUUACUGUGGAUGCUACCUUUGGGCGAGGAUUCAGGGAAACAGAGAGAGAUGGAGAAAGGCUAAAAUGAUACAAUAAAUGGUCCAUUCCAUGGACAUCAUUGAGUGUUAUGGACCAGGCAUGGCUUUAGGGUCUAUGUAUUGACUGUGGUUUGAACCUCAUUCCUCCUCAGUGACCCUCUUCCAAUCAUCUUCCAAAGACACUGGACAUUAUUUCCUUCCUGGACUGGUUAAAAGAAAAAAAAUCAACAACAAAGAGACCAGGAGUCAUGGCUGGAACUAGUGCCUAUUUUUCUAGAAGGCUCUCCUUGAGGUCCCAGCAAUUUCAGAGGCAUUUCCUUCACUUCUGGGUUCUAAAUUCUUAAGCAGGCUAUUCACCGUUAGAGGAGGAGCCCUUCUUCUAUGGAGAGCUGGUGAUUUGGACAUCCCAAGCUGCUUGAGUCCUGUCCCUGGGUGUGGUUAGGCCUUAGGAAACCAGGAUAGCAGGAAGACAGCUCAUGGAUUAUAGAGCUUUGUACAGUAGUCCCGUAUCUUCGAUUUUGCUUUCUGCAAUUUCAGUUACAUGCUGUCAGCCAUGGCCCAGAAGCCAAGAUCCUCCUUCUGAUGUGUCGUCUGGAGUUCAGCAGUAGCCCACACUAGGUCACAGCUCCUACACCCCCCACCGUACUUCUCCUCGUCACGUAGGGGAAGUGACGUCCCACCAUCACAAGAAGAAGGGCCUGUGCAGUACAAUAGGAGAUUUCGAGAGAGAGAGAAGCUACAUUCACAUAACUUUUAUUAUGGUGUAUCAUUAUAAUUGUUCUGUUUUCUUAUUUAUUAGUUAUCGUUAAUUUCUCACUGUGCCUAAUUUAUAAAUUAAGCUCUAUCAUAAGUGUGUAUGUAUAGUAUAUGUAGGGUUCAGGUUCACUAAAGUUCUGGAAUGUAUCCCCUGAGGAUAAGGGUGGGUGGGACCACCAUACAGUAUUUAUAUUAUUGCUACUGGGACUGGGGGCAGCCUCCAUGGUGGAGGAAGGUGUUACCUGAAGAGACCAGAGGUCACAGGUUCUUCAUAGUCUCAAGACUUACAUUUUUGCUGUUGGCCUACCAGAAUGGGGGGAAUGAAGUCCAAUCCCUGCAUUGUUCAGCUGAGCAAAUAGUGGGUCAGGGGUGUGUUUUGUCUGGGGAUACAUAUCUAAUCAAGUCAAUUCAUGGAGGCCUUACUGUGUGCCGAUGGUUAAUUUUAUGGAGUCAUCUUGGCUGGAGUGUGAGAUCCACUUGUUUGAUCAUACAUUAGCCUCUGUUUGCUGAGAAGAUUUUUUGGGGACAUGAUUAACAUUUAUUUGUUUAUUUACUUAUUUAUUUAUCGAGGGAGAGAUGGAGUGGGAAGGGUAAGAGAGAAUCUCAAGCAGGCUCCAUGCCCAAUUCAGAGUCCAACUUAGGGCUCGGCUCCACAACCCUGAGAUCAUGACCUGAGUGGAAAUCAAGAGUCAGACACUUAACUGACUGAGCAACCCAGGCACCCCUAGAUAUGAUUAAUAUUUAAAUGAGCAGACUUUGAGUAAAGCAGAUGUGCUCCAUCAUUAAUGAGUUGAAGGCCUUAAGAGAAAAGACUGGGACCCCCCUCACCCAAAGAGGAAGGAAUUCUGCCUCCAGAUUACAGAAUCAGUUCUUGGAAUCUCCAGUCGCCCAGCCGGCCAGCCUGCCCUGCAGAUUUUGAACUUGUCAACUCCCUCAAAUUGCAUGAGCUGAAAAUAAAUCCCUUUCUCUAGAAACAUCUUGUUGGUUCUGCUUCUCAGCAGAACCCUGAGUGAUACAUAUGGGAUGGGGAAAGUGGGAGACAGACAGGUGAUCAACACCUGGCUUUCAGGUACCCGGACUCUGCUUCGAUGGCCACUUAACCAGAUAAUACAGCAGAGUUGUUGGUCUCUCCACAGCCAUGUAAGUCCUGACAUCAUUGGGGAAUAAGUGAUUGUCUUCACACAUUCGGCUUUUGGAGUGACCAUUUUAUUUUAUUUUUAUUUAUUUAUUUUUUUAAAAGAUUUUAUUUAUUUAUUUGACAGAGGUCACAAGUAGGCAGAGAGGCAGGCAGAGAGGGAGAGAGGAGGAAGCAGGCUCCCUGCUGAGCAGAGAGCCCGACAUGGGGCUUGAUCCCAGGAUCCUGGGAUCAUGACCUGAACCGAAGGCAGAGGCUUAACCCACUGAGCCACCCAGGUGCCCCUGGGUGACCAUUUUAAAGUGCCACAAGCAAAAAGCCAAAUCAAAUCCAUCAAGAUGCCUUUGAAGGUACAGUAUUGCUCUUCUGAAGGAAAUAGCCUCACCCGAUGCGGGCAGCUGACUGCGGAAGCCAUCCGUCUGCCACUGUGCCAGUGGGAGCGCCAUGGGUUUGUCAAAUACGCGUGCUGUGUUCCUGCCACAUGCUCAGACUCUGUAUCCUGGGAAUUAAGCUGAGGAAAAUUUCUACUUCCUUGACAGCAACUGCCAGCACGUGCUUGCUUUAGUACACACUAUACAUGCAAAUCUGGUGUUCUCAGGAGAGCUGUGUGUAUUCUCUGUUGCUUGGCUGCGGAGAGACAAAGAAAAAGAACUAAAAUGUGAAAUCUCAGUUUUUAUCUAUCAUUAUCAAUGUUUACUACCUUCCAGGGAGGCCUUAGGUGGGAGUUACAAAAUAGGAUACGUUAUCAUCUCAAAACAAAUGAGCUGAUAUUACAUAGUACAAAUUAUAUUAGUUAUGACUUCAGUUCCUUUUAUGUCUCUUCUCCAUGAGUUUAUUUAUAUGGGAAAAGUGAAAUGGCAAAGUUGGCAGAAAAUAUUUGAACAAUUAAUAUUUGGAAUACAAAUACAGCUUUCAAUGUAUUCACUAAAAAACUUGUUUCUGAUCAGAUCUUUUUUUUAGUAUAUGUGCUGCCGAAGCAAGCACUGAUCAGAUCUUUUUUUAAAAGACUUUUUUAUGAGAGAGAGAGUGUGUGUGUGUGUGUGUGUGUGUGUCCCCGAGCGAGGGAGGGGAAGAGGGACAGAAUCUCAAGCAGGCUCCUGGCUGAGUGCAGAGCCCUACAUGGAGCUCGAUCUCACAACCCUGACAUCGUGACCUGGAGAUCAUGACCUGAGCCGAAACCAAGGUCAGAUGCUUAACUGAAUGAGCCACCCACGUGCCCCCUGAUCAGAUCUUUCUGAUUAUUGUCUUCUCUCCUCGCCUUCCUGCCACUGAGUCAGUCCGAUGGUGACAGCCAGUGGUUCAACAGGGUUCUCAAAGGGCACAAGGAAACACUCAGAGCAAGGGAUGGAGCCAACUCAAGGAGACGGAAAGAACAUUUGAAGAAACUAAGAGGUGAGCAGAUGCUUGCAGAAACCAAAGAGCUGGAGUUAAGGAUAGAAGCUGGCUAUAAACUGUGAAUCCCAGAUGAAUAGGGAUAAAGUGACCGAUCAGAAUGCACCCUGGCCUUCCUGCUUCACUGGACUGUGUGUGAAUUUACUGUAAAGUACUGGACGGUCAGAAGAAUGAGCAAAAGAAAACUAGACAGUCAUUCCUCAGCUUUCCUGUCUUCUUUAGGAUUUCCUGCUAGCUUUUGCCACCCUCAGCCUCCACCCACCCUGAUAACUACCACCUACCCCCAACUAAUCCGGUUAACAGACACUCAAAGUGCGUUACUCAUCAUUACGUAGGGUGCUUGCUGCUGGAUGGAACUGGGGGAGGCAGUGUGUGAGCCUCCUGGCUCCCUAUGCCUGACUCGCCCUUUCCUUGUUCAAACGUGUUGUUCCCUAAUGUGUUCCCCAGGGCCCCCAAGGGAAGGUUUGCUGUGAUUCAUGUGACUUUUAAGUGUGAUAGAAAUGCAGGACCAACUUGUUAAAGUAUUUAUGGGGAUCUAUUUUGGGGAGACAAAGUCUAGCCAAGACACACAUCGAAGUUCAAAAAGAAGACAGAGCAACAGUGAUGAAGAAGAUGUGGUCAUCAGGACGGAAGGACACUGAAGCCGGGAAACAUAAGACAAAGUCUUUCAUGUAUCUCAUUCCUGAGACACUUGUGAUAAGCCCCUGGAGAGUUGCUAAAUGUGGUGUAUACGUUGGGCUGUAAGCCCUUUAGAGCCAACCCCAAAAGGGGCCAUGCAAGAAGUUACAUGAUUGGGGAAGGGUGGUUACAGCGGAAGUACUGAUGCUCUUGGAAUAGAGAUUAGAGCAAAAACCACCCUUCCACUCUGUACAUGGCUGCCCCUCCCACCCCGCUGCCUCUGUGGAGUAGAGUGAACCACAUUUUCUAACACCUUUACAAUAAAAGUGUCAGUGAUCUGUAAAA